rnacentral:rRNA from 1 species
GAUGAACGCUGGCGGCGUGCCUAAUACAUGCAAGUCGAGCGAACAGACGAGGAGCUUGCUCCUCUGACGUUAGCGGCGGACGGGUGAGUAACACGUGAUAACCUACCUAUAAGACUGGGAUAACUUCGGGAAACCGGAGCUAAUACCGGAUAAUAUAUUGAACCGCAUGGUUCAAUAGUGAAAUACGGUUUUGCUGUCACUUAUAGAUGGAUCCCCGCCGCAUUAGCUAGUUGGUAAGGUAACGGCUUACCAAGGCAACGAUGCGUAGCCGACCUGAGAGGGUGAUCGGCCACACUGGAACUGAGACACGGUCCAGACUCCUACGGGAGGCAGCAGUAGGGAAUCUUCCGCAAUGGGCGAAAGCUUGACGGAGCAACGCCGCGUGAGUGAUGAAGGUCUUCGGAUCGUAAAACUCUGUUAUUGGGGAAGAACAAAUGUGUAAGUAACUAUGCACGUCUUGACGGUACCUAAUCAGAAAGCCACGGCUAACUACGUG